GUAGGUGAACCUGCGGAGGGAUCAUUAACAUAUCAAAAGAGUUGAGUGUGGGAGGAGAGAGGGAUCAGCAGCGCAAGUUGUUGAUGGCGCUCUUCUUCUGCCCUCGAUGAUUUCACACCUGCGAACUUAUCCCCCACCCCACACACCACGAAGCAUGGCCUCGUGUCAUGCUUCGACCCUUUCUUUCACACCCCUUCUUUUUUCUCUUCUCACACUGAUUGUGCUAGUCCUUGUGGCUACUGCUCUCAUGUAUACUAAUCUAUAUAUCACUCCUAGCAAUGGAUAUCUUGGUUCUC
rnacentral:misc_RNA from 1 species